GAUGAAGAACGCAGCGAAAUGCGAUAAGUAAUGUGAAUUGCAGAAUUCAGUGAAUCAUCGAAUCUUUGAACGCACAUUGCGCCCCCUGGUAUUCCGGGGGGCAUGCCUGUUCGAGCGUCAUUUCACCACUCAAGCCUCGCUUGGUAUUGGGCAACGCGGUCCGCCGCGUGCCUCAAAUCGACCGGCUGGGUCUUCUGUCCCCUAAGCGUUGUGGAAACUAUUCGCUAAAGGGUGUUCGGGAGGCUACGCCGUAAAACAACCCCAUUUCUAAGGUUGACCUCGGAUCAGGUAGGGAUACCCGCUGAACUUAAGCAUAUCAAUAAGCGGGGA
rnacentral:misc_RNA from 1 species